ensembl:lncRNA
CUUUGAGAAAUCUUUACAGUGUCAUAAAGGUGAAUAAAUGAUGGCAUCAUUUGUGUCAGCUAAAAUUCUGUCAUUAACUGUAUUUAUUAUUGAUUGUCAGAUUUUGAAGAAAGCUUUCUACAGUGGAUACCAAGAUACCGUAUACUUCCUGCAGCAGAGCAACGCGCUGCCACUGUAUCCUCAACGGAGAAAGGAGUCUGAUGCAUCUGAUGAUUCGGCGAGCUCAGAUCACUGGAUGCUGACACAGACUGAUCGUGCUGAAGAAGAGGAAUCCCAGCAGGACUGCCCUGAACAACCUGAACAGAAGACCGCCAAUGGAGUUUGUUCAUCUUUGAGUCCAUCCCUUCAAGAGCGGAUAGUACAUAAGAACUCACCAGUAGAGGUUCAGGAAGUGCUGUUGUCUAAUAUCAUGGGGCAGCUGGAGAUUGUGAGUAAUUCAAACGUCUCUUUACCUCAACGGACUCUCUCAUACCUGCUCUUAUUGUUCACACUGCCAAUCUGGAGUGCCACAACCUUAUGGGACAGAAUGCUGAGUCUGAUCAGUUUCAUACCUGCACAAGUUCACGAUGAGCAGCAUAGACGCAGAGAGCUGGCUGAGAGACACAUGGCCUCCUCUAAUCUGAACGGUCACGUCUCUGCUGCUUUCCCGUCGAGUCCCUCCAUGGCACAGACCCUCCCAAACCUCUACACACUCCUGAUUUCACUAGAGACAGCAGAGAGCAAGUGGAGAAGACGCAAGAUAGAGAAAACAAAGGGCUGUACAAGAAAUAAAGAUCAGGCCUCCUGGAUGACGAAGUGGGGACAAUGUCACAUACACGUAUACACACAGACACAUGCAGACCAACACCUAAUAUCUCAGCUCAUCCACUGAAGUGCACAGUUCAUUAUCCAUCAACUUGUUGACAUCAAGAGUAUCUCCACAGACGGCGGAGAGAGGUGUGCUACUACACAGAAGGAUAACAUGUGCUUUUCCAAGCAGUCAAAGUUUUGCCAUUCACACUUCUAUAAGGCCUUGUUCACACAGGAAGCAAAAAUUCGAUUUUUUUGAUCAAAAUAUAUCAAAUCACAUUCUAAGGUCAUCUGAAAUGAAAGUUGAUAGAUUAAAAUCAGAUUUUUUCCAGUAACCUUGUGUAAAUAAAAAUACAUAAUGUACUUUUUAAAGAGUACUU